CAUUAGCCUUAUAAUUGAAGGAUAGAAUGAAUGGUUUAACUAAAAUUUUAUUGUCUCAUAAUAAUAUUUUUAACUUUAUAUUUUAGUAAAAAAGCUAAAAUAUUCUUUAGGGACAAGAAGACCCUAUUGAGCUUUACAGAGAAAAAGCAUUUUUCAUAAAAUACUCUUUUUUUUUGUUUUACUGGGGCAGUAAGAAGAAUAAGAAAUUUUUACCUAAAGAAUUAUGAACUAUAAUUCUUGCUAAAUCGAGAAAUUUUUUAAUUAAAAAUAAGUUACCGUAGGGAUAACAGCGUAAUUUUUCUUUAGAGAACAUAUCAACAGAAAAAGAUUGCGACCUCGAUGUUGGAUUGGAAGUCCUAUUUCACGCAACAGUGAAAAAAGG
rnacentral:rRNA from 1 species